CGCAAACUACGCCUGGCGAUGCGUCGUCAAAGCAGGCCCCGCAAUCAGGGCUCUCAUCCGCACAAAACCCUCUCUCUCUCUCUUCUCCCACACCAGGGCGACGCCCCUCUCCCCAGCGUAUCCCUGCCCUCCUCCUCAUGUCCUCCAUCGCAUCCUAACCCGCCGCCGGAUCUCCAGUCAUCAACGCCUCCUCGGUUGUCACCGCCUCCACCCUGCGGAUCCGCUCUCCAUCGCACGGAUUCGGCCGUCAUCGCCUCCCCCUCGAUUGUCCCUGUCCUCCACUGCAGGGAAUCCCUCCUAGGCUAGGCUGCUCCGAGCCGGGAAAACGCCGCCCACGCCAAAUCACCUCGCCAGCGGUACUCAGUCCCUCCACCUCGCCGCCCAUGUCUCCCUCGAUUCCAUCUCUCCCACGACUCCCCAGCCUCGCCGCAGCUCCGGCUCCUCCUCCCGGCUGACUUCCUCCUCCAACACGCUGCGUCGCGCCUAACCCUAGCUGCACGCCUAAUUCUGGACCUUUCCGGACCAGCCGGGGUGCCCUACUUCCACGCAUUCUCCUCUUACGCAGCACCGCCUCGGCUCCGGCGUGCUCGUCGAGAAAAAGACCGCCGGGAGUUCCAUUAAUCCCUUCCUCUAGCUAAUUCCUGCAUGCUUAAUUAUUUCCUCAAUUUUGGUCUGAUGACGAUGAUGGAUCUGAAGAGAUAUGCAUUGAGGAUGAAGUACGACAAGUACCUGUAAAUUCCUCUUUAGUAGGUGCAUGCCUCAGCCUGGGUAUUCCAUCUUGAGACCAUUUCUCCAGGAAUGCCUCUAUACAAGAGUGUUGUUUGUAGAGUAAGGAGAUAGUAUGAGUGUAUGACACAUAAAUAAUUGUUGAUUGGAUUAGAUCAAAUUGUUUUAAAUUCUGAUCUAGAGAGCUUAUUUACAGUUCUCACAUUUUGGGCAGCUGCCUGCCAUUCUUGGAUAUGGAUGACCCAGCCAAAGACAUCGUCGACCUUGCAGUGAGAAACUUCACUACAAUAUGUAGACUGCCAGUUUUAUGUAAAUAAACAUGGGAUGGUUAGUAUUAUGUACAGAAACAUGAGAUGCUGAGAAGAGAAGAAACACAUCGCUGAGUUUAGCCAUUUAGCACUUGCUGUUAUAGUGUUGCCUUUUAUCAACGUGAUGACCCCUUCAUAGCUGGUAUAGUUCUGGUGCUUAAAGAAUUGUCUGUGGUGAUUGACUGCGACCGUGAUGAGCCCGUGAUGAGCCCAUGUCACAUUCAUGAACCUUUGAAUAUCAACUUCUCAAUUACCAUAUAUAGUAUUAAUUUGGUUCUUUUGUUCAAUUAUACCAUUUCUAUUGGGAGAACUGUUGACAACUUCAUGUUGGGACCUGGGAGCAUAUCACAAUGGUUAUUUUAAUUUGUUCACUCACAAUAAACAUGAAUAAGUUGCAAUCAUGCCAGGAUUCCAUUGCAAACCACUGAUGAAAAAGGUAGGGGCUGCCCUCCCUCUUUGUCCAGGGACCAGGGUAUGUAACAACUCGUGUGUCUCCUACUGCUCGUCGUUUGCCCUACAAAGUCGUGUAUCACACAUUUGUUUAUCUUUCAAUGGAGCUGAUAUGUUCUAGAUUUUAGAAUUCCUGGGUUAUUGUUACCGUCGCAACAAGUAGAAGUUAUUUAUUUUUUCUAUUCUUAGAUUUGAAAGAAAGCAUAGUGUUUGACAGGUCAUGUACUGGAUUGUCUACAUGCAUGUCACACCAUCUGUUCCAUGUCCAUUUUUUAUGUAAUUCAUCCUCUCUACGCUGGCUGAUGGUGAUGUGUAGGAUGGGUCAAACCCAUCCCAAUGUUGAUACCCUCUUCUCUCUAUAUGUAGUUCUCCAAGUAUUUCUAAUUAUCAUUUUCCAUGUGAUUUUCCUGACAAAUAGCUCGAUAUGGUUUUGUAUUUAAUACCUGUAGACACACUAAUGUAACAAUGCUUUAGUCUGAUUUUUUUUCGAAAUGUUCAGUCUCAUUGUUGUACCUGGUUAUUUUAUUUCCCACCAAGUGUUAUCUUGCAAUCUCAUGGUCCUUUACUAAAGCUCGAAUUUUACUGAACUUGUUCGUCCUUAUUUUGUCCUAAUACUCUCAGAAUUUAUACAUAGAGAAUGAUACCAUGAUAGUCUAUACAUAGAAGGAUACCGGGAUACAGAGAAAGAGAAACAGAGAGUUGGAGAGUACCAUGGUCGUUUAUUUCUUCUCGUUGCCGAUGAGGGUGCCUCCUGCAUUAACAACGACAGAGGCUCCAUGUUUGCUGACGGCAACGUACCUAAAUCGUCCUCUACUGAUAGGCUGGUUAAGCUGAAACUGAAGCUUUGCACCAACCUGGAGGACUGUCCAACAAAUCCAUAUCUCCACUGUUGCCUGGUUUGUUCCUUCUUCUACGACACCAACAAGGUUAGAGAAAUUGCAGCGUCAUCCACUCGGCCGUGGCUUGCAAAGACUGAUGGAGAGGAAGGGCUGAAACAUGUUCAAUGAUGAAGUAGAUCGAUGAAGUAGCAGAGUACUGGUGGUGGAGUCUGAGCCAAUAGGUGGUUGAAAAGGGAAGAAGAAAUGGACGUGGUGAUGCUUCGUCUUAAAUUGAUUGGUUUUGAAGAAACAUAUAGGCCUCAUGGAGGAAAGAAGACUAUACUUUCGAACAAGAUGAGAGCUAUACAAAUAGGGGAGAGGUGAGGAAAGUAUCGCCAAAAUGUGAAACAAUAUUAUGUGACAAUAUGCACAUUUGUUAAAAUAGCUAAACAUUAUUUA